UAUUUAGCUAAAUUCUUUUAUUUUCUCCAUGUCUGAUUCGAAAUAGAAUUCUAGUAACCUCAUUUUUAUUUUUCUGACAUUGUUUAUUGCCAGUAAAAACCACAUAUCUGUGCCGUUGUACCUUUUCUUUAAUCUCUCUCCAUAUAGGUCCUUUAUGGGCUGGAAUAUGCAUAUGCGAUCCCACAUGUUAGAGAAGAGUUGGCAGCAUCGUCAUCAAUGCAAUCUGGGCCCAAGUCAUCAAUGCAUUCAGACUUCCAUUUUGCUGAUGUUAGGUGUUAUGUAACAAAUCCUUCUGACAAUAAAAAAAAUCCUGAUGGGCUUCCAAUAGCAUUUGGUGACUAAAGUGCUAGUGAUGAUGUUGGGGCAGCUGCUGGUUCUAGGCAUAGAAUUGGUGGUUUGAUGUGGGAGUUGCCUAAUGGGCACAGGAGGGAGGACUAUUUGCUUGUAUGGGUUUUUUCUGGCAAUUCAGCAUUAGCAAUGUUCUCCUGACAUUUAAUGGCUGUGAAAUAGGCGGAAGUGUUGCAAUGUUUUGCUUAAAAUUUGUUGCAAAAAUUGCCUAGAUAUUGGCAUGUGUCUGCUUAACAAAAUUUUAUGUGUGUGGCUUUACCCAGUUUCUGGCAGAUGUGUGUUGUGUACUCGAUGUUUUUCCUCAGUCUAGGCAAUUGACUUCCUGAUUGCUUUAGAUUCAUUAUCGUUAAGGAUAGCCAGAGUUUCGUUACUCAUUAUCUGUUUACAUUGGUCUAAUCUAUUGAUUUUUUUACUCAAGCUGUGAUCUGCGCUUGCUUUCAUCAAUGAGCUUGUCCAAUUUUUAUCUGUAGUGCUUUACCCAAGAAAGGUUUUGAGAACCUUGAAAUAUUUUGUUUUGAUUAUUGCAUUCCAGGCACCAAUUGAUUGCAACUAGUUUGGGAUUAAGGCAUAGUUGUUGUUGAACUGCAUUCCUUGUAUUAAUGGAAAUUGUGUAAUUGGAAUUCUAUUGUUGCAAACGAAUUGAUCUUGUUAGGCACGCACAUAAUUAAAUAUGCAAUAGACAUAAACCACAAUAAAAAUGGUAUUACUUCGUAUUCCUUUCCUUAGACAAAAAUCUUCAUUUUGAUUUGGUUGCAUGUUUUAGUCAGAUAUGAUGCAGAAGAAAAUCGCUUCGUGACAGAUUUAUCUCAACAGAGAAUGAUUCUUAAGUGUAGGUAUUACUAAUGCUAUACAAGAUAAAAAUACUCCACCUUUGAUCUUUGCCUCUCACUAAGAACUGAUACCUAUUUUUUCUCUUUUAUCCUGAAUUCCUGAUAUAUUGUUCUUUUCUAGGGAGGUUCUCCAUUAAUAUUCUGUAUGUGUUGCAUGAUUUUCUUGAAUGUUUUUCAUGAAGAUAUUACCUGCUGGAGAAGGCAAAAGAUGUUAACAUUGUUGGAAUUUUGGUGGGAACUCUUAGUGUAGAUAGUGAAAGAUGGCAUGUCGGAGGGAAAAAUGCUUACACUCUUGUAUGAGAAGAUCAAACCCUGUAAAACUUGCCAACUUUCCUAAGUGUAAUGUUUCCUGUGCUCAAAUUGCUCUCUUGGAUAGUAAAGAUUUCUUGGCUCCAGUUAUCACUCCAUUUGAAGCCAUGGUAGCUUUUAGUGGGUUUGCAAAUGUUCACCCAACUUCUAUUAUGAAACACUGUAUUAAUAUUUUUUUUUUGCCCAUGACCACUUCUGCCUUGUCAAAUGUUACUUCUAAGUAUAUGUGUGGUCCAAAAUAAAAUCAUGAUCUAGAAGAAUGACACUGAU